UAAAAUGUUUUAUCGAUCUCGUCAUUGCACGGCGAUACUAUUGCGCGUAGCAGAAAGUUGUGCAAACAUCGCGGCUUUGAGGUUAAUAUUGCAGAACCAGUAGGCCUGUGAACUAAUGCUUCGCAGGGGCAGAACAAUAACUUAUUACAAUUGCCGGCUCAUAUUUGUUUAUAACAAUUAAUUAAUUAAUAAAGUAAUUGUUACUUCAAAAAAUUCAUUGAUUAAGAAAGUUUGGAAGGUCACGCAGAAACUAAAACAUCAUGAUGAACAAAAGAGCAAAAAAUGCCGUGUACGAUCUUGGGCACAAAAUUUGGGUCAGUACGUGUUUAGUUGCUACUGUUGGUGCAACAGCCUUUUUGGGAUAUAAUGUUUACUGUUAUUUCAAGUAUGUAAAACCAGUGAAACAUGAGAGAGAGGAAAGAUUAAAAGAGGAGUUGCUUAAAGAAGGCAGAAUGUUACAAGAUUCUACUCCAACAUUAACUCCUUAAAUUUGCACAGUUUGGAAGUGCUAGUCUUAACAUGUAGAUUGUUACAUUUUUUAUUGUAAGUACUUUCAUUCAGUUAUGCUCUUUAUGUAUAGUACUUUUUUAUAGUGCUUUACUAUGGAAAUGUAAUUUGAUAAAAUAUACAUCCAAUGUAAAUAAUUUAAAAUAUCAAAAUACAAUAUAUAAUACCAGUAUAUCAAAUAGAAUAUUGUUUUAAGUCAAUAAAAAACGAUUUUUUGAUUUUA